rnacentral:tRNA from 1 species
AGCAGUGUGGCCUAGUGGAUAGAGCACAGGGCCUGGGAGUCCUGAGGACCUGGGUUCUAAUCCCGGCUCUACCU